rnacentral:rRNA from 1 species
GGCUCAGGAUGAACGCUAGCGGCAGGCCUAACACAUGCAAGUCGAACGGUAACAUGAGAGCUUGCUCUUGAUGACGAGUGGCGCACGGGUGCGUAACGCGUAUGCAACUUACCCCAAACUGGAGAAUAGCCUUUCGAAAGGAAGAAUAAUACUCCAUAGUAUUUCAAAGAGGCAUCUCUUUGUUCUUAAAGCUUCGGCGGUUUGGGAUGGGCAUGCGUUCUAUUAGUUAGUUGGUGAGGUAACGGCUCACCAAGACCACGAUAGAUAGGGGGCCUGAGAGGGUUAUCCCCCACACUGGUACUGAGACACGGACCAGACUCCUACGGGAGGCAGCAGUGAGGAAUAUUGCACAAUGGACGAAAGUCUGAUGCAGCCAUGCCGCGUGCAGGAUGAAUGCCCUACGGGUUGUAAACUGCUUUUAUAUAGGAAGAAACCCCUCUACGUGUAGAGGGCUGACGGUACUAUAAGAAUAAGGACCGGCUAACUCCGUGCCAGCAGCCGCGGUAAUACGGAGGGUCCAAGCGUUAUCCGGAUUUAUUGGGUUUAAAGGGUCCGUAGGCGGGCUUUUAAGUCAGAGGUGAAAGCCUACAGCUUAACUGUAGAACUGCCUUUGAUACUGGAAGUCUUGAGUAUAGUUGAAGUGGGCGGAAUACGUCAUGUAGCGGUGAAAUGCAUAGAUAUGACGUAGAACACCGAUUGCGAAGGCAGCUCACUAAGCUAUAACUGACGCUGAGGGACGAAAGCGUGGGGAGCAAACAGGAUUAGAUACCCUGGUAGUCCACGCUGUAAACGAUCAUCACUCGACAUUGGCGACAUACCAGUCAGCGGCCAAGCGAAAGCAUUAAGUGAUCCACCUGGGGAGUACGCUCGCAAGAGUGAAACUCAAAUGAAUUGACGGGGGCCCGCACAAGCGGUGGAGCAUGUGGUUUAAUUCGAUGAUACGCGAGGAACCUUACCAGGGCUUAAAUGUAGAACGACAGUUUGGGAAACCAUUCUUUCUUCGGACGGACUACAAGGUGCUGCAUGGUUGUCGUCAGCUCGUGCCGUGAGGUGUCAGGUUAAGUCCUAUAACGAGCGCAACCCCUAUCUUUAGUUGCCAGCGAGUAAUGUCGGGGACUCUAAAGAAACUGCCGGUGCAAACCGUGAGGAAGGUGGGGAUGACGUCAAAUCAUCACGGCCCUUACGUCCUGGGCCACACACGUGCUACAAUGGCGAGUACAAAGGGCUGCUACCUGGUGACAGGAUGCAAAUCUCUAAAGCUCGUCUCAGUUCGGAUUGAAGUCUGCAACUCGACUUCAUGAAGCUGGAAUCGCUAGUAAUCGGAUAUCAGCCAUGAUCCGGUGAAUACGUUCCCGGGCCUUGUACACACCGCCCGUCAAGCCAUGGAAGUUGGGGGUGCCUGAAGU